AGCGAACGCUGGCGGCAGGCUUAACACAUGCAAGUCGAACGCCCCGCAAGGGGAGUGGCAGACGGGUGAGUAACACGUGGGAACGUACCCUUUGGUUCGGAAUAACUUGGGGAAACUCAAGCUAAUACCGGAUAAGCCCUUAUGGGGAAAGGUUUACUGCCGAAGGAUCGGCCCGCGUCUGAUUAGCUAGUUGGUGAGGUAAUGGCUCACCAAGGCGACGAUCAGUAGCUGGUCUGAGAGGAUGAUCAGCCACUGGGACUGAGACACGGCCCAGACUCCUACGGGAGGCAGCAGUGGGGAAUAUUGGACAAUGGGGGCAACCCUGAUCCAGCCAUGCCGCGUGAGUGAUGAAGGCCUUAGGGUUGUAAGGCUCUUUUACCCGGGACGAUAAUGACUGUACCGGGAGAAUAAGCCCCGGCUAACUUCGUGCCAGCCGCCGCCGUAA
rnacentral:rRNA from 1 species